UACAGAGGUCCCGAGCGUUGUUCGGAUUCACUGGGCGUAAAGGGUGCGUAGGUGGCGUGGUAAGUUUGAUGUGAAAGCUCAGGGCUUAACCCUGAAAUGGCAUUGAAUACUACUGUGCUGGAGGUUUGGAGGGGGACUGGAAUUCUUGGUGUAGCAGUGAAAUGCGUAGAUAUCAAGAGGAACACCAGUGGCGAAGGCGGAGUCCCUGGACAACACCUGACACUGGAGGCACGAAAGCUGGGGAGCAAA
rnacentral:rRNA from 1 species